rnacentral:rRNA from 1 species
UACGUAGGGUGCGAGCGUUGUCCGGAAUUAUUGGGCGUAAAGAGCUCGUAGGCGGUUUGUUGCGUCUAUCGUGAAAACCUGCAGCUUAACUGUGGGCUUGCGGUGGAUACGGGCAGACUUGAGUUCGGUAGGGGAGACUGGAAUUCCUGGUGUAGCGGUGAAAUGCGCAGAUAUCAGGAGGAACACCUAUUGCGAAGGCAGCUCGCUGGGACGUAACUGACGCUGAGACGCGAAAGCGUGGGGAGCAAACAGG